rnacentral:rRNA from 1 species
GACGAACGCUGGCGGCGUGCCUAAUACAUGCAAGUAGAACGCUGAAGAGAGGAGCUUACUCUUCUUGGAUGAGCUGCGAACGGGUGAGUAACGCGUAGGUAACCUGCCUUGUAGCGGGGGAUCACUAUUGGAAACGAUAGCUAAUACCGCAUAACCAUGGAUGACACAUGUCAUUUAUUUGAAAGGGGCAAUUGCUCCACUACAAGAUGGACCUGCGUUGUAUUAGCUAGUAGGUGAGGUAAUGGCUCACCUAGGCGACGAUACAUAGCCGACCUGAGAGGGUGAUCGGCCAGACUGGGACUGAGACACGGCCCAGACGCCUACGGGAGGCAGCAGUAGGGAUUCUUCAGCAAGGGGGGCAACCCUGACCGAGCAACGCCGCGUGAGUGAGGAAGGUUUUCGGAUCGUAAAGCUCUGUUGUAAGUCAAGAACGGGUGUGAGAGUUGAAAGUUCACACUGUGACGGUAGCUUACCAGAAAGGGACGGCUAACUACGUG